rnacentral:rRNA from 1 species
GACGAACGCUGGCGGCGUGCUUAACACAUGCAAGUCGCAAGGUAAGGCCCUCCGGGGUACACGAGUGGCGAACGCGUGAGCAACACGUGGGUGAUCUGCCCUGCACUUCGGGAUAAGCCUGGGAAACUGGGUCUAAUACCGGAUAGGACUCCGGACUGCUUGGUCUGGGGCGGAAAGCUUUUGCGCGUGUGGGAUGGGCUCGCGGCCUAUCAGCCUGUUGGUGGGGUGAUGGCCUACCAAGGCGACGACGGGUAGCCGGCCUGGGAGGGUGACCGGCCACACUGUGACUGAGCUACGGCCCAGACGUCUAGGGGAGGCAGCAGUGGAGAUGAUUGCACAGUGGUGGCAAGCCUGAUGCAGCGACGCCGCGUGAGGGAUGACGGCCUUCGGGUUUUAAACCUCUUUCGGCGUCAGCGAAGCGAAAGUCACAGUAGGUGCAGAAGAAGGAGCGGCCAGCUACGUGCCAGCCGCCGCCGUAA